CGUGCCUAAUACAUGCAAGUCGAGCGAACGGACGAGAAGCUUGCUUCUCUGAUGUUAGCGGCGGACGGGUGAGUAACACGUGGAUAACCUACCUAUAAGACUGGGAUAACUUCGGGAAACCGGAGCUAAUACCGGAUAAUAUUUUGAACCGCAUGGUUCAAAAGUGAAAGACGGUCUUGCUGUCACUUAUAGAUGGAUCCGCGCUGCAUUAGCUAGUUGGUAAGGUAACGGCUUACCAAGGCAACGAUGCAUAGCCGACCUGAGAGGGUGAUCGGCCACACUGGAACUGAGACACGGUCCAGACUCCUACGGGAGGCAGCAGUAGGGAAUCUUCCGCAAUGGGCGAAAGCCUGACGGAGCAACGCCGCGUGAGUGAUGAAGGUCUUCGGAUCGUAAAACUCUGUUAUUAGGGAAGAACAUAUGUGUAAGUAACUGUGCACAUCUUGACGGUACCUAAUCAGAAAGCCACGGCUAACUACGUGCCAGCAGCCGCGGUAAUACGUAGGUGGCAAGCGUUAUCCGGAAUUAUUGGGCGUAAAGCGCGCGUAGGCGGUUUUUUAAGUCUGAUGUGAAAGCCCACGGCUCAACCGUGGAGGGUCAUUGGAAACUGGAAAACUUGAGUGCAGAAGAGGAAAGUGGAAUUCCAUGUGUAGCGGUGAAAUGCGCAGAGAUAUGGAGGUACACCAGUGGCGAAGGCGACUUUCUGGUCUGUAA
rnacentral:rRNA from 1 species